CUGGGCAGUAUGAUCCCAAGUUUAUUUUAUUUUAUUUUAUAGUCAGUUGAAGUGUACUAAGGAAUACGGAUUGGCCAGAACAUUAGGACAAUCCUGCUAUUAAGAUGUAUUACAUUAAUAAGUCAUCACAAUGCUAAUGAAGAGAGUGAUGAUAAUGAAUUUAAAUUGUUUUUUCCAAGUUCUUUUAAAGUAAACCAUUCUCAGAUUGAAUGAAAAGUUUG